UACGUAGGUGGCGAGCGUUAUCCGGAUUUAUUGGGUUUAAAGGGUGCGUAGGCGGCUUUAUAAGUCGGUGGUUAAAGGUAGCAGCUCAACUGUUUUACAUGCCAUCGAUACUGUUUAGCUUGAGUUAUCAGAAGGCAGAUGGAAUUCCUGGUGUAGCGGUGAAAUGCUUAGAUACCAGGAGGAACACCGAUUGCGAAGGCAUUCUGCUGCAGAUAAACUGACGCUGAGGCACGAAAGCGUGGGGAUCAAACAGGAUUAGAUACCCUGGUAGUCCACGCCGUAAACGAUGAUUACUAGUUGUUGGCUUGUUGGAGUCAGUGACCAAGGGAAACCGAUAAGUAAUCCACCUGGGGAGUACGCCGGCAACGGUGAA
rnacentral:rRNA from 1 species